rnacentral:rRNA from 1 species
ACGGAGAGUUUGAUCCUGGCUCAGGACGAACGCUGGCGGCGUGCUUAACACAUGCAAGUCGAACGGUAAGGCCCCUUCGGGGGUACACGAGUGGCGAACGGGUGAGUAACACGUGAGCAACCUGCCCUUGACUUCGGAAUACCAGCUGGAAACAGCUGCUAAUACCGGAUAUGACACUUGCCCUCCUGGGUGGGUGUGGAAAGCUCCGGCGGUCAGGGAUGGGCUCGCGGCCUAUCAGCUUGUUGGUGAGGUAAUGGCUCACCAAGGCUUCGACGGGUAGCCGGCCUGAGAGGGCGACCGGCCACACUGGGACUGAGAUACGGCCCAGACUCCUACGGGAGGCAGCAGUGGGGAAUAUUGCACAAUGGGCGGAAGCCUGAUGCAGCAACGCCGCGUGCGGGAUGACGGCCUUCGGGUUGUAAACCGCUUUCAGUAGGGACGAAGCUAACGUGACGGUACCUACAGAAGAAGGACCGGCUAACUACGUGCCAGCAGCCGCGGUAAUACGUAGGGUGCAAGCGUUGUCCGGAAUUAUUGGGCGUAAAGAGCUCGUAGGCGGUUUGUCGCGUCUGCUGUGAAAGCCCGGGGCUUAACCCCGGGUGUGCAGUGGGUACGGGCAGACUAGAGUGCAGUAGGGGAGACUGGAAUUCCUGGUGUAGCGGUGGAAUGCGCAGAUAUCAGGAGGAACACCGAUGGCGAAGGCAGGUCUCUGGGCUGUUACUGACGCUGAGGAGCGAAAGCAUGGGGAGCGAACAGGAUUAGAUACCCUGGUAGUCCACGCCGUAAACGAUG